rnacentral:rRNA from 1 species
UACAGAGGUCCCAAGCGUUGUUCGGAAUUAUUGGGCGUAAAGGGUGCGUAGGCGGUUUGGUAAGUCUGAUGUGAAAUCUAUGGGCUCAACUCAUAGUCUGCAUCGGAAACUGCCGGGCUUGAGUGUGGGAGAGGUGAGUGGAAUUCCUGGUGUAGCGGUGAAAUGCGUAGAUAUCAGGAGGAACACCUGUGGCGAAAGCGGCUCACUGGACCAUAACUGACGCUGAUGCACGAAAGCUAGGGGAGCAAACAGG